rnacentral:rRNA from 1 species
UGGUGGCGAGUGGCGAACGGGUGAGUAAUGCGACGGAACGUACCGAGUAAUGGGGGAUAACGCAGCGAAAGCUGUGCUAAUACCGCAUACGCCCUGAGGGGGAAAGUGUC